rnacentral:rRNA from 1 species
AGAUUGAACGCUGGCGGCAGGCCUAACACAUGCAAGUCGAGCGGUAGAGAGGUGCUUGCAUCUCUUGAGAGCGGCGGACGGGUGAGUAAUGCCUAGGAAUCUGCCUGGUAGGUGGGGGAUAACGGCUACGGAAACGGACGCUAAUACCGCAUACGUCCUACGGGAGAAGCGAGGGGACCUUCGGGCCUUGCGCUAUCAGAUGAGCCUAGGUCGGUAUUGCGUAGUUGGUGAGGUAAUGGCUACACCAAGGCCGACGACUACCGUAACUGGGUCUAGGAAGAGGG